GACGAACGCUGGCGGCUUGCUUAACACAUGCAAGUCGAACGGAAAGUCCCUGCUUUUGUGGGGUGCUCGAGUGUCGAACGGGUGAGUAACACGUUAGUAACCUGCCCUUGACUUUUGGAUAACUUCAGGAAACUUGGGCUAAUACCGGAUAGUAGCUCCUUCUUCAUGUUUGGGGUUGGAAAGUUUCGGCGGUUGGGGAUGGACUCGCGGCUUAUCAGCUUGUUGGUGGGGUAGUGGCUUACCAAGGCUUUGACGGGUAGCCGGCCUGAGAGGGUGACCGGCCACAUGGGGACGGAGAUACGGCCCAGACUCCUACGGGAGGCAGCAGUGGGGAAUAUGGCAAAAUGGGCGGAAGCCUGAUGCAGCAACGCCGCGUGCGGGAUGACGGCCUUCGGGUUGUAAACCGCUUUCGCCUGUGACGAAGCGUGAGUGACGGUAAUGGGUAAAGAAGCACCGGCUAACUACGUG
rnacentral:rRNA from 1 species